rnacentral:rRNA from 1 species
CAAUAGCGUAUACUAACGUUGUUGCAGUUAAAAAGCUCGUAGUUGGAUUUCUGUGUUGGUGAGGCGGCCGGCCACUCGUGGUUGUAGCUAGUUAUCACCGACGCAUCUUGUCACAAUCCUGUCUGGCCUUCACUGGUUGGAUAUGGGGACUGACUCGUUUACUUUGAGAAAAUUAGAGUGUUCAAAGCAGGCUAUCGCCUUGAAUAUAUUAGCAUGGAAUAAUGAUAUAGGACUUUGGUUCUAUUUUGUUGGUUGUUCGAGAACCGAAGUAAUGAUUGAUAGGGACAGUUGGGGGGCAUCAGUAUUCUGAAGCGAGAGGUGAAAUUCUUGGACCUUCGGAAGACUAACAGCUGCGAAAGCGUUUGCCUAGGAUGUUCUCUUUAAUCAAGAACGAAAGUUGGGGGAUCGAAGACGAUCAGAUACCA